ACCAAGGAAGGCCUGAUGUGGAAUAGCUACGAGUUUGCGUCUUUACCUGUGAUGCGUUUCCGCCAUCUCUUGGAGAAUGACGUUGCGGAGCAUGGGCAGCAUAAACAACCAAUCGAAUCGACUCAAACAGCCGUUUGACACCAGUGCAACCAAUACUAGGUUUGGGCUGAACGAAAGGGGGAAGGGAAACCAAAAGCCAAAAAAACUCAAAAGAUAAAAAUAAGUUACCAACGAAUGCAUCAAGGCUGAUCAGCAUUGUCGAGCCCAGCAGUCUGACUGGAGGAGUUUCGAAGGGCGUGAGACAUGAUCGUCAGUUUGAUAUGCAGGCGGCACAAUGAAUGCAGAAGAUCAUUCACAGCAUUCAUCCGACCAGCCUUUUUUGCGGAUUACAAGUGCGUCUUUCUGAUUUCAACGGAAUCACAACGGAUG
rnacentral:sRNA from 1 species